GACGAACGCUGGCGGCGUGCUUAACACAUGCAAGUCGAACGGAAAGGCCCUGCUUUUGUGGGGUGCUCGAGUGGCGAACGGGUGAGUAACACGUGAGUAACCUGCCCUUGACUUUGGGAUAACUUCAGGAAACUGGGGCUAAUACCGGAUAGGAGCUCCUGCUGCAUGGUGGGGGUUGGAAAGUUUCGGCGGUUGUGGAUGGACUCGCGGCUUAUCAGCUUGUUGGUGGGGUAGUGGCUUACCAAGGCUUUGUCGGGUAGCCGGCCUGAGAGGGUGACCGGCCACAUUGGUACUGAGAUACGGCCCAGACUCGUACGGGAGGCAGCGGUGGAGAAUAUUGCACAAUGGGAGGAAGCCUGAUGCAGCAACGCCGCGUGCGGGAUGACGGCCUUCGGGUUGUAAACCGCUUUCGCCUGUGACGAAGCGUGAGUGACGGUAAUGGGUAAAGAAGCACCGGCUAACUACGUG
rnacentral:rRNA from 1 species